rnacentral:rRNA from 1 species
UACAGAGGGUGCAAGCGUUGUUCGGAAUUAUUGGGCGUAAAGCGCGUGUAGGCGGCUUUGUAAGUUAGAGGUGAAAGCCCGGGGCUCAACCCCGGAACUGCCUUUAAAACUGCAUCGCUUGAAUCCGGGAGAGGUGAGUGGAAUUCCGAGUGUAGAGGUGAAAUUCGUAGAUAUUCGGAAGAACACCAGUGGCGAAGGCGGCUCACUGGACCGGCAUUGACGCUGAGGUGCGAAAGCGUGGGGAGCAAACAGG